GAUGGUGGUGCAUGGACGUUCCUAGUUGGGGGAGUGAUUUGUAUGGUUAAUUUCGAUAACGAACGAGACCUACUAAAUAGUAGAUUUGUUCUUUUUGCUCUUUCAGGGAGCGGCUUCUAUUGCUUCUUUUGUGAAGUAGUGUGGUCAUGAUCCGGCGGAUACAGUGCCAGUUUUUACUUCUUAGAGAGACAGAUGGCUCAUCGAAGUCCGACAAAAUUGAGCAGUAACAGGUCUGUGAUGCGCU
rnacentral:ncRNA from 1 species